GGCUCUGUGCCGACAGCUCAGACCCUGGAGCCUGCUUCGGAUUCUGUGCCUCCCUCUCUCUCUGUCCCUCCCCCGCUCACGCUCUGUCUCUCUCUUUCUCAAAAAUAAACAUUAAAAAAAAUUUUUUAAUAAAAAAAAAGAAAUCAUUAAAAACAUUUUAAGCACAAUGAUGGAAUCUGGUUUUGUGUUUAAAUGCAUCCUGACAUAUUAAUAGAUGAGAGGACAAGACAUCAGUAUUACAGCUUUUGGAGCUUGUCCUAAACAAGGCCACGAAAAGAGGAUUAAGAGCCCCUACAGCUUUUUGCUCUUCAGUUUGGGAAUUGCCUUAUGUCCUGCUCCCUUUUCCUUCCCUGCGUGAUUUUCACAGCUUGGAUCUUACUUGGCCUUCUACCUGAUUCCCUCUUUGGUGCUGAAUCCAGGUGGGUUUGGUUAAACUCUGGUGCUUCCUUGGCAUGUUGUUUCCAGUAUGGACUCCUACAUGUCUACACACACCACGACCACAGAUGUUUCACAAUGGGAUCUAACCGGUGGUGCAUUCCUGGGCAUGGAAGAAGCCAGGCCUACCAUACUGAAAGCGGAAUGAAGGGGAGCUCGGCAUGGCUCUCCGAGCAGUCACCAGUGAUUCAUCUGGAGGCACAGGUGGGGCCCAGAGCAGAAGGCAGAGGAUACAGUCCGUGUGAGCACCGUGGGUUCCCAAGACCGCAGGUAGCCCCAGCUCCAACCCAACUCUGAUGCACACUGGGACUUUGCCAAGCUGUCUUUUCUCAGAGAACAGAGUCUGCUCAGGUGUAUGUUCUUACCUCGUUGCAAAUUUCAGACGAGGUGACAAGAGUGGUGUCUGGAGCUUUUCCUGGCAGAGAGAGUAUUUCUCCCCUCCACUCUCCCAGACCUUGUUUUCCCUUUUUACCUCUCUCUGCUCCUGUUUCCCAGGGUAGGAGCCUGGCAAUGGGGAGAGACUGAACUAUGUUCCAAUCCAGCCUCCCUAUUUGCUUGCUAGGUAGCAAAUCAUUGAACUUCUCAAAGCCUCAGUUUCCUCAGCAAUCAAAUGGAGAGAUAAUACCCCUUUACCUUAUAGGAUUGUGUGAGGAUUGAGAUAGUGUACGUAAAAUGCCUUGCAAACAUUCAACACUCAAGGUCAGCGGUUCUCAACCUCAGCACUUUUGACCCUUUGGCCAGAUAAGUGUUUGUUGUGGGGGGCUCUCUUGUGCAUUUUAGGAUGUUUAGCAGCACCCCUUGUAUCUGCAAAUGAGAUGUCAGUAGUACCCCACCCCCUUGGUUGGCUUCCAUCCUGUUCUCCUUUCUCUCUGUCUCUCACUUCCUCUCCUCUUCCUUCCUUUACUCCCCCAUCCCUCCAUUUUGGGAAAGCAAACUUCCCCGUUAGGAAUAGCCCAGAUGGCAUGGAACUAAUGUCUCCCGCAAAUAGCCAGAGAGAACCUGAGGCCAGCCUGAAGCCAAGUGAGUGAACUUGGAAGAGGAAACUGUUGCCCUAGGCAAUACCUUGAUCACAGCUUUGUGAGUCAUCCUGAGUCAGAGGCACCCCGCUAAGCCAUGGCCAGAUUCCUGCUCCACGGAAACCCAAGGUACUAAAUGUGAUUCUUUGAAGCUGCUACAUGUUGUGAUAAUUUGUUAGGCAGUGAUAGAUCACUAACACAAGGACCAACAGUGUAUCAAGUAAUAUACUGGUUGCUGCAUUGGGAGCAGAUGAAUGAGAUGGAGUCUCUGCUCACCCAGA
ensembl:lncRNA